GACGAACGCUGGCGGCGUGCCUAAUACAUGCAAGUCGAGCGGAAUGAUGAAGAAGCUUGCUUCUUCUGAUUUUAGCGGCGGACGGGUGAGUAACACGUGGGCAACCUACCUUGUAGAUUGGGAUAACUCCGGGAAACCGGGGCUAAUACCGAAUAAUCCAUUUUGCUUCAUGGCGAGAUGUUAAAAGGCGGCUUCGGCUGUCACUACGAGAUGGGCCCGCGGCGCAUUAGCUAGUUGGUAGGGUAAUGGCCUACCAAGGCGACGAUGCGUAGCCGACCUGAGAGGGUGAUCGGCCACACUGGGACUGAGACACGGCCCAGACUCCUACGGGAGGCAGCAGUAGGGAAUCUUCCGCAAUGGACGAAAGUCUGACGGAGCAACGCCGCGUGAGUGAAGAAGGUUUUCGGAUCGUAAAACUCUGUUGUUAGGGAAGAAUACGUACGAGAGUAACUGCUCGUACCUUGACGGUACCUAACCAGAAAGCCACGGCUAACUACGUG
rnacentral:rRNA from 1 species